GGGGCUGUAGCUCAGUUGGGAGAGCGCCUGAUUUGCAUUCAGGAGGUCGCCGGUUCGAUCCCGACCAGCUCCACCA
rnacentral:tRNA from 1 species